GAUGAACGCUGGCGGCGUGCCUAAUACAUGCGAGUAGAACGCUGAAGCUUGGUGCUUGCACCGAGCGGAUGAGUUGCGAACGGGUGAGUAACGCGUAGGUAACCUGCCUGGUAGCGGGGGAUAACUAUUGGAAACGAUAGCUAAUACCGCAUAACAGUAGAUAUUGCAUGAUAUCUGCUUGAAAGGUGCAAAUGCAUCACUACCAGAUGGACCUGCGUUGUAUUAGCUAGUUGGUGAGGUAACGGCUCACCAAGGCGACGAUACAUAGCCGACCUGAGAGGGUGAUCGGCCACACUGGGACUGAGACACGGCCCAGACUCCUACGGGAGGCAGCAGUAGGGAAUCUUCGGCAAUGGGGGGAACCCUGACCGAGCAACGCCGCGUGAGUGAAGAAGGGUUUCGGAUCGUAAAGCUCUGUUGUAAGAGAAGAACGAGUGUGAGAGUGGAAAGUUCACACUGUGACGGUAUCUUACCAGAAAGGGACGGCUAACUACGUG
rnacentral:rRNA from 1 species